CACUCUUCGGAUCCCCAGCAACUCUCUGGGCGUGAGGUAUGCAAGAAUGUGGUGCUGCAUUUCAGCCGACAGCUGUUGAAACCUGGCGUUGUUACAUCGCAUAUGUGACGUCACUCUUCGGAUCCCCAGCAACUCUGGGCGUAAGGUAUGCAAGAAUAUGGUGCUGAAUUUCAGCCGACAACUGUUCAAACCUGGCGUUGUUACGUCGCAUACGUGACGUCACCCUUCGGAUCCCCAGUAGCUCUCUGGGCGUCAGGUACGCAAGGAUGAGUGCUGCAUUUCCGCGGGCAGCUGUUCAAACCUGGCGUUGUUACGUCGCAUGCGUGACGUCACUCUUCGGAUCCCUAGAAACUCUCUGGGCGUGAGGUAUGCAAGAAUAUGGUGCUGCAUUUCAGCCGACAGCUGUUGAAACCUGGCGUUGUUACGUCGCAUGCCUGACGUCACUCUUCGGAUCCCCAGGAACCCUCUGGUCAUGAGGUAUGCAAGAAUGAGGUGCUGAGUUUUUGCCGACAGCUGAUCAAACCUGGCGUUGUUACGUCGCAUGCGUGACGUCACUCUUCGGAUCUCCAGCAACUCUCUGGGCGUGAGAACCAAGAGUUUCAGGUUCACGGCGGAGAUCGCGACUCGGGGCGACCGGCGGGACCGAGGAUGCUCCAUGUACCAGCCGCCGUGCCGGAUCACCCCCGCCAUCUGGCGGGAGAUAUGUCACAUGUUCCCUUAAACCCAAAGCACCACCAAGAUCACAGGGAAUUAUCACAGACGCGGAGACACCUGGCUCGUCCGGUAUGAGCGCGGCGGAGCAGGCGGGCCCAUCGGCGAAGAAGGCGAAGGUAGCAGCGCCGAGUGACCAUGCUAAUAACGGCAAGCAAAGUGGUGCUAUUGGAGCGCAGUUGGGCCUGCUGAUGCUGUUUAUCAUUAUGAUACUUAUAGGGAUUGGGAGAUGAGUGCUGUAUAUUUUAAAGUUCCUCAACUGCGUAAUGUUAAGACGAAUAUUACGUGUAAGUUGUCUACGAAGAUUGCCGUGCUUUUGCCACCUCAGGAUCGUACGGGACCUGUGCAGGUUAAGCCUAGCAACUCAUUGUAUCGUCUUGGACGAGUGUAUUCAGAGGGUACUGACACUGUUGUGUAUCAUAUGUAGGCUGCGGAAGAAUAAAUGUGAAGAUGAUGAA
rnacentral:lncRNA from 1 species